AUACAGAGGGUGCGAGCGUUAAUCGGAAUUACUGGGCGUAAAGCGCGCGUAGGCGGCUUGGUCAGUCGGAUGUGAAAGCCCUGGGCUUAACCUGGGAAUUGCAUUCGAUACUGCCAGGCUAGAGUAUGGUAGAGGGAAGUGGAAUUUCCGGUGUAGCGGUGAAAUGCGUAGAUAUCGGAAGGAACACCAGUGGCGAAGGCGACUUCCUGGGCCAAUACUGACGCUGAGGUGCGAAAGCGUGGGGAGCAAACAGGAUUAGAUACCCCGGUAGUCC
rnacentral:rRNA from 1 species